CAUAUCUCUAAUUAAAAAAAAGAUAUCUCUCUCCAUCUUCAAUUCGCCGUCUUUACAACUCAAACAGAAGAAAGAGAAAUAUCUCUUCUUCUCCAUCUUCUGCACCUCACUCUCUGCUUCAGAAAAAUAAAAAAAAUCUCACUCCUAUCUCUCUCCCACUCGUCUUUUCUUUCUAACUCCAACAGAAGAACAGAGAAGAUCUUCUCCAUCUUCUUCAUCUCCUCCGAAGAGAAGAGAUCUCGUCACCAUCUUCUCCUUCUUCUUCAAUCAUGCAAAAGCUAUUUUUCUCACAAAUAUAAGAGCACUGUAAGUUUUAAGUUAUUUGUUUAAUUUCAGGGAUUCACCAACAGAAGAAGAAGUAUUAACUGAUUUACCAGCAAUCAGGGUUAGCCAAUGCAAAGACUUAUGCAAUUCAAGAUGGAAAAGAUUCAGGUGUUGUUCUUGAUGCUACUAAGAGUAACAAACAUAAGAACCCUCCAACUUUGGUGCACAAAACUGUCAUGAAAAAGGAAUUCAGUAGAAUGGAUAAGGGUGUUGCCAACCAGUUAACUUAACAAACCCUUUCUCUUAUUUCAGAUUUUGUAAUAGAUUUUUGAUGCAUACAUAGAUAACUUGAUUUUUUUAGCCACUUUGACAUCACUGGUUGUGUGUUCCACAAGUGCGUGCAAUGCGAUGGUUGCUGGGUACAUCAUAUUACAGAACCUCGGUUUAUGUCCAAAGUGAGAGCAAUUACAAUCUCUGCACCAUUUGCUUCUCGGAAUUAGGGAAUGACGCUCAAUGAACCAGAAUAGAAAAACCCCAUCUUUUACCGAUGCCCUCGCCGCAUCUUUUUUCUCAAGGUCCAGCUCCACCCAUCAUGUAUCUCUCAUAUCUUGAAUGCAUCUAAAAUUUUAGAUUCCUGGUGAUGGAUACCCUGUGGGAACAACACUACACAUUGUAGUUGAUCUAACAACACCAGUUUCCCAUGGAUUCUAUAUUUCUUACUGGAGGAUGAUGUCACAUUCUGGUGAAAUGUUUGAGGAGCGGAUUUGGGUACUAAUCGAGGUUACUAGUACUGAGAGGAAAUAUUUCCACAUUACCUUAUCAAGGCACAUGUUGGCGUUGCGAUAAAUUUUCCUCAUACUACAAGAAGCUCAAGAUGGUAUUGAAGGUAGCUAGGAAGAAGAUGAGGAGGCUUAUGAGGUAUAGUUGUUUUAUAAAGUUUAUAUAUCCAACUGUGAGGUAUGAAUGUUAGAGAUGGACAUGGAAAGUUCACAAUAGGAAAUGGGGAAUUUCCAUUGGUGUACAUGUAUUGUAGCCUAUAAUUUGAUUUAUCCCGUUGUUAUUUUCUGUGAAUUCUGAAAUAUAGUUCUUCUGAUUUUAACAAUUGGUUAAGCCACUGGUAAAGACAUCACAAGGCCAUUCGACUUGAAACUUCAUAUUGAUGUUUGAGCAGUUGAAAAUGAUGGUUUUGGCAGUCUGGUAAACUACCAACUUCUUAAGUUUUAUGAUUUUUGGUUAACUUGUCUUUGCUUAACAUUGUUUUUUUUGCUUGAGUUUCUGUUUUGCAUAUACUUGUAACAAGGUCUUGUAGUUAUAAGAACUGAUUUUCACUGGACAUUUUUAGUUUGCUGAGAAGUUCAGCUUACUUGAACAAUAUAUAAUGGAAAAAGAUAAGCAGAAGAAGGUAAAAGUUAAAACCGUUGUACCCACGUUGUGAUUGCGUAUCUGUACAAAUUUUUAUUGAAAGGAUUCAUUUGACAUGAAAUAAUAACCUAUUGCGUAGUUUGAUUUGGUACAUUUUCUUGAACUGUAUGAGUAGUACAUAAUACCUUGAUGUAGCAAUUCAAUUUUAAACUUCAAGUGUUAAUAAUUUCUCGGAUCUGUACCCUGGUUUUUUUAACAACUUCAAACACUUUAUUUUUGUUAAUAACUUCAAACACUUUGGUGUUCAUCUAGUUUGGUGAUCAUAGCCCUUAGAUACUGAUGCUACUUUAUCUGCGUGAAUUUUUGUUCGUCCAAUUUGAUUAAGCACAUUCUUUUGGUUUCACCCUUUUCUGGUGGUGCUGUGUUUGAUGUGGGUUUGAAUUUUUUCAUUGUUAUUGAUCGUCGAAAAUGGGUGAUAUAUUCGAAUUGCUAAGAACUCUACCUUGCUUCCAUUUUGACAGGAGGGAUUUGUUAUUUCUAGUUGGCAUUUUGCUGUAAUGGAAAGGGUAUACAUUUUAGUUGUGCAAGUAUGAUCACAAUUGUCCAUUUGUCAGUUGCUUUCAUUUUUUAGGGAUAAUUGCUAGUGGAGAUUCUAUUCCAUAGCCUUCUAUUCUUUCAUAUUUCUGGUUAUGGUUUGACUUGUUUUUUUUAUUAUGGUGAUACAUUUGAUUUGUGUAGUUAUCCGUCUAAUUUUCCCGACCAAUGCCUUAUGUACAUCUGAUAAAGGUGAUGCAGAUUCUUUUUUUUUAUAUGUGAUGCAUUACAGGUUGAUAAACUAAUAAAGGAGGAGGCCCAUGAAAUGGAUGUAAAAGAAGUACAAUGGAGCUCUCAGGUACACCAUUAUGAAGUAGGAAUAAGUUCUUCAUCGUUAUCGGAGUUUAUAAUUUUGCUGUUUAAUCAAUAGUUUUUUAGUUCAUCGUUUUGUAAUAGAAUCCUAGAACUACAGAUUACAUUGGUCAGAACUACAGAUUUUAAUCCUUUGUGUAAUUCGAAAGCAAUGAACCAAUGAAUGUUAAAUUAAAUGAUUAUUUGUGUGCAAGUUUAAUUUGAUUCUCA